rnacentral:rRNA from 1 species
GAUGAACGCUAGCGACAGGCUUAACACAUGCAAGUCGAGGGGCAGCAUGAUUUGUAGCAAUACAGAUUGAUGGCGACCGGCGCACGGGUGAGUAACGCGUAUGCAACUUACCUAUCAGGGGGGGAUAGCCCGGCGAAAGUCGGAUUAAUACCCCAUAAAACAGGGGUCCCGCAUGGGAAUAUUUGUUAAAGAUUCAUCGCUGAUAGGUAGGCAUGCGUUCCAUUAGGCAGUUGGCGGGGUAACGGCCCACCAAACCGACGAUGGAUAGGGGUUCUGAGAGGAAGGUCCCCCACAUUGGUACUGAGACACGGACCAAACUCCUACGGGAGGCAGCAGUGAGGAAUAUUGGUCAAUGGCCGAGAGGCUGAACCAGCCAAGUCGCGUGAAGGAAGAAGGAUCUAUGGUUUGUAAACUUCUUUUAUAGGGGAAUAAAGUGGAGGACGUGUCCUUUUUUGUAUGUACCCUAUGAAUAAGCAUCGGCUAACUCCGUG